UCCCUCUUAGCUCAGUUGGUAGAGCGCGUCACUAGUAUUAUAGGGAUGGACUCAUAUACAGUAUGACGAGGUCAGUCGUUCAAGUCGGCUAGAGGGAA